rnacentral:rRNA from 1 species
GACGAACGCUGGCGGCGUGCUUAACACAUGCAAGUCGAACGGAAAGGCCCUGCGUUUGUGGGGUGCUCGAGUGGCGAACGGGUGAGUAACACGUGAGUAACCUGCCCUUGACUUUGGGAUAACUUCAGGAAACUGGGGCUAAUACCGGAUCGGAGCUCCUGCUGCAUGGUGGGGGUUGGAAAGUUUCGGCGGUUGGGGAUGGACUCGCGGCUUAUCAGCUUGUUGGUGGGGUAGUGGCUUACCAAGGCUUUGACGGGUAGCCGGCCUGGGAGGGGGACCGGCCACAUUGGGCCUGAGAUACGGCCCAGACUCGUACGUGAGGCAGCAGUGGGGAAUAUUGCACAAUGGGCGGGAGCCUGAUGCAGCAACGCCGCGGGCGUGAUGACGGCCUGCGGGUUGUAAACCGCUUUCGCCUGUGACGAAGCGGGAGUGACGGUAAUGGGUAAAGAAGCACCGGCUAACUACGUG